rnacentral:rRNA from 1 species
AUUGAACGCUGGCGGCAGGCUUAACACAUGCAAGUCGAGCGGGGUGAUGGUGCUUGCACUAUCACUUAGCGGCGGACGGGUGAGUAAUGCUUAGGAAUCUGCCUAUUAGUGGGGGACAACAUCUCGAAAGGGAUGCUAAUACCGCAUACGUCCUACGGGAGAAAGCAGGGGAUCACUUGUGACCUUGCGCUAAUAGAUGAGCCUAAGUCGGAUUAGCUAGUUGGUGGGGUAAAGGCCUACCAAGGCGACGAUCUGUAGCGGGUCUGAGAGGAUGAUCCGCCACACUGGGACUAAGACACGGCCCAGACUCCUACGGGAGGCAGCAGUGGGGAAUAUUGGACAAUGGGGGGAACCCUGAUCCAGCCAUGCCGCGUGUGUGAAGAAGGCCUUAUGGUUGUAAAGCACUUUAAGCGAGGAGGAGGCUCUUUUGGUUAAUGCCCAAGAUGAGUGGACGUUACUCGCAGAAUAAGCACCGGCUAACUCUGUGCCAGCAGCCGCCGUAA